AUGGCGUGCAGCUCGGGCACAUCUGGUGGCAAGCAGAAGAUCUUCCCGUCCACCGCCGAGGAGCUCGACCGGAAGCUCUUCUUCUAUGGUGUCCAGGCACUCGUGAGGAACAUGCAUUUACAUGCUGACCAGGAGAGCAAGCGCGGCAUGGGGAUGCGCCUCACCCUCACCUUCCCCGUCGAACACACGCCGUCCGGCCUUCAGGUCCAGGCGGCCACCACCGCCUAUUACUGCAGCAGCCAGUUCCAGGACCACGAGGUGGGCGGGUUCGACCGGUGCACCAGCCCCAUGGAGGCCAUCCUCUGCCCGGACGCCGAGCAGAGCAUGUACUGCCAGCUGCUCUGCGGCCUGCUCAACCGCGACUCCGUGAACCACGUCGGCACCUCCUUCGCCAACAGCUUCGUCCGAGCCAUCAAGUUCCUGGAGCAAAACUGGGAGGAGAUGUGCUCCGACAUCCGCACCGGCAGCCUCAGCCCUGGGACGGUAUUGUCACCAGGCUAUGGCCGCGGGCACGGUGUGCCCUCACCAUAG
rnacentral:rRNA from 1 species